rnacentral:misc_RNA from 1 species
AGCAGCCGCGGUAAUUCCAGCUCCAAUAGCGUAUAUUAAAGUUGUUGCAGUUAAAAAGCUCGUAGUUGAAUUUCGGGGUCAGUAGAUUGGUCGUGCCACUGGUAUGUACUGGUCUCACUGGCUCCUCCUUCCUGAUGAACCGUAAUGCCAUUAAUUUGGUGUUGCGGGGAGACUGGACUGUUACUUUAGAAAAAUUAGAGUGUUUAAAGCAGGCUAACGCUUGAAUACAUUAGCAUGGAAUAAUGAAAUAGGACGUUCGAUCUUAUUUUGUUGGUUUCUAAGAUUGACGUAAUGAUUAAUAGGGAUAGUUGGGGGCAUUAGUAUUCAAUUGUCAGAGGUGAAAUUCUUGGAUUUAUUGAAGACUAACUACUGCGAAAGCAUUUGCCAAGGAUGUUUUCAUUAAUCAA